rnacentral:lncRNA from 1 species
GGAGGUGGGACAUAUAGGUUUCCAAUACCAGACGCAGGUCCAGUAGGUGGGGGAUAUAGGCUUCCAACCCCAGAAGCAGGUCCAGAAGGAGGAUUCGGGCUUCCAACCCGAGACACUGGUCCAGGAGGUGGGAUGUUCGGGCUUCCAACCAUAGACGCAGGUCCAGGAGGUGGGGGAUAUAGGCUUCCAACCCCAGAAGCAGGUCCAGGAGGAGCAUUCAGGCUUCCAACCCCAGACACUGGUCCAGGAGAUGGGACGUUCGGGCUUCCAACCGUAGACGUAGGUCCAGGAGGUGGGGGAUAUAGACUUCCAACCCCAGAAGCAGGUUCAGGAGGAGGGGGAUAUAGGUUUCCAACCCCAGACACUGGUCCAAGAGGUGGGGGAUAUAGGCUUCCAACCCCAGAAGCAGGUCCACGAGGAGGGGGAUAUAGGUUUCCAACCCCAGACACUGGUCUAGGAGGUGGGACAUUUGGGCUUCCAACCCUAGACGCAGGUCCAGGAGGUGGGACAUUUGGGCUUCCAACCCUAGACGCAGGUCCAGGAGGUGGGACAUUUGGGCUUCCAACCCUAGACGCAGGUCCAGGAGGUGGGACAUUUGGGCUUCCAACCCUAGACGCAGGUCCAGGAG